GUGCUCACUUCGGCAGCACAUAUACUAAAACUGAAUCAAUCAGAGAAGACCAGCAUGGCCCCUGCGCAAGGAUGACGCAAAUUCGUGAACCAUUCCAUAUUUUU